UACGUAGGGGGCCAGCGUUGUCCGGAUUUAUUGGGCGUAAAGAGCGUGUAGGCGGCCAGGUAGGUCUGGUGUGAAAACUCGAGGCUCAACCUCGAGAUGUCAUCGGAAACCAUCUGGCUAGAGUCCGGAAGAGGAGAGUGGAAUUCCUGGUGUAGCGGUGAAAUGCGCAGAUAUCAGGUAGAACACCUAUGGCGAAGGCAGCUCUCUGGGACGGUACUGACGCUGAGACGCGAAAGCGUGGGGAGCGAACAGG
rnacentral:rRNA from 1 species